rnacentral:RNase_P_RNA from 2 species
GGAGUCGGCCAAGGCAAUCGCUGCUUGUAUUCGUACAAGGGGAGGAAAGUCCGGGCUCCAUAGGGCAGGGUGCCAGGUAACACCUGGGCGGCGCGAGCCGACGACUAGUGCAACAGAGAGCAAACCGCCGAUGGCUCACUUUCGGGUGAGCACAGGUAAGGGUGAAAGGGUGCGGUAAGAGCGCACCGCACGACUGGUAACAGUUCGUGGCACGGUAAACUCCACCCGGAGCAAGACCAAAUAGGGAUCCUUGGUGCGGCCCGCAUCGGAUCCGGGUAGGUUGCUUGAGGCGAUAGGCGACUAUGGCCCUAGAGGAAUGAUUGCCCUCGACAAAACCCGGCUUACUGGCCGACUCCACUU